AGGGUGUAGGGCGGAUGCCUUGGCACUAGGAGCCGAUGAAAGACGUGAUAAGCUGCGAUAAGCUUCGGGGAGUGGCACAUACACUUUGAUCCGGAGAUUUCUGAAUGAGGAAACUCACUUGGAGUAAUGUCCAAGUAUCCAUAGGUGAAUACAUAGCCUAUGGAGGGGAACUCAGGGAACUGAAACAUCUAAGUACCUGAAGGAAGAGAAAGAAAUUCGAUUCCGCUAGUAGCGGCGAGCGAACGCGGAAGAGCCCAAACCAAGUCAGUUUACUGAUUUGGGGUUGCGGACAUAUCUUAAGGAAAGGUUAUUGCGAGUAGAAUAGGUCUGGAAAGAUCAACCACAGAGGGUAAAAGUCCCGUAUACAAAGCCAAGAAAGUUCUUGAUAUGAUCCAGAGUACCACGAGACACGUGAAACCUUGUGGGAAGCAGGGGGGACCACCCCCCAAGGCUAAAUACUACCUAGUGACCGAUAGCGAAUAGUACCGUGAGGGAAAGGUGAAAAGAACCCCGGGAGGGGAGUGAAAUAGAACCUGAAACCCUACACUUACAAGCUGUGGGAGCGCAUUAUUCGCGUGACCGCGUACUUUUUGUAGAACGGGCCAACGAGUUACGUUAUGUGGCAAGGUUAAGCACUUAAGGUGUGGAGCCGAAGCGAAAGCGAGUCUUAACUGGGCGCCAUAGUCACAUGACGUAGACCCGAAACCGGGCGACCUACCCAUGAGCAGGAUGAAGCGAAAGUAAAAUUUCGUGGAGGUCCGAACCCACGUACGUUGAAAAGUGCGGGGAUGACUUGUGGGUAGCGGUGAAAUUCCAAUCGAGCUCGGAGAUAGCUGGUUCUCCCCGAAAUAGCUUUAGGGCUAGCCUUGAAAUUUAGAGAUGUGGAGGUAGAGCACUGAAUGUCCUAGGGGGUAUUGCACUUACCGAAGACUAUCAAACUCCGAAUGCCAUUAUCUUUUGUUCAGGAGUCAGACUAUGGGUGAUAAGGUUCAUAGUCGAAAGGGAAAGAGCCCAGACCGUCAGCUAAGGUCCCUAAAUGUAUGUUAAGUGGUAAAGGAUGUGGGAUUGCACAGACAACCAGGAUGUUGGCUUAGAAGCAGCCACUCAUUUAAAGAGUGCGUAAUAGCUCACUGGUCGAGUGAUCCUGCGCCGAAGAUUUCCGGGGCUAAAACAUACUACCGAAGCUACGGCAUCAUAUGAUGAUGGGUAGGGGAGCUUCCCAUGCAGGCUGAAGCGAUACCGUAAGGAGUCGUGGACAGUAUGGGAGAGAGAAUGUUGGCAUGAGUAGCGAGAUGAGGGUGAGAAUCCCUCAGGCCGUAAACCCAAGGUUUCCAGGGGAAGGUUCGUCCUCCCUGGGUUAGUCGGGACCUAAGCUCAGGCCGAAAGGCGUAGGCGAUGGACAACAGGUUGAGAUUCCUGUACUACCGAUAAUCGUUUGAGAGAAGGGAUGACACAGUAGGAUAAGCUGAGCACACUGUUGGUUAAGUGUGUCUAAGCGUUGAGGCAGACUAGAUAGGCAAAUCCGUUUAGUUAAUGCUGGGGCGCGAUGGGGAGCGAAACUAAGUAGCGAAGCAGCUGAUUUCACACUGUCGAGAAAAGUCUCUAUCGAGAUUAAAGGUACCCGUACCGCAAACCGACACAGGUGGGUGAGGAGAGUAUCCUAAGGCCAGCGAGAGAACUGUUGUUAAGGAACUCGGCAAAAUGACCCCGUAACUUAGGGAUAAGGGGUGCCCCAGCAAUGGGGCCGCAGAGAAUUGGCCCAAGCGACUGUUUACCAAAAACAUAGGUUUCUGCUAAGUCGCAAGACGAUGUAUAGGAGCUGACGCCUGCCCGGUGCUGGAAGGUUAAGGGGAUCUGUUAGAGCAAUCGAAGCAGUGAUCUUAAGCCCCAGUAAACGGCGGCCGUAACUAUAACGGUCCUAAGGUAGCGAAAUUCCUUGUCGGGUAAGUUCCGACCCGCACGAAAGGCGUAACGAUUUGGGCACUGUCUCAACAACAGACUCGGUGAAAUUGUAAUCCCGGUGAAGAUGCCGGGUACCUGCGACAGGACGGAAAGACCCCAUGGAGCUUUACUGUAGCUUGACAUUGGGUUUCGAUACUACAUGUACAGGAUAGGUGGGAGACUAUGAAAUCAGGGCGUCAGUUUUGAUGGAGUCAUCCUUGGGAUACCACCCUUGUAGUAUUGGGACUCUAACCAUAGGCCAUGAAUCUGGUCUUGGGACACUGUCUGGUGGGCAGUUUGACUGGGGCGGUCGCCUCCCAAAAGGUAACGGAGGCGCUCAAA
rnacentral:rRNA from 1 species